CAGAACAUUAAUACACAAGACCGAUGUUAUUUUGCUGAACCCUCGUGUCCAAAUGCCACAGAGAGCAUCAGUACCGUGGACACUACAGAAGCAUCUAAUCUAGGGUUAUCGACAAUUCAAAGUAUUUACAACACAACAUCUUACAACGUAUCUGAAGGCACCUUUCCACAAGACUCCAACGAUUCUACAGAGGUUAUUGUUUGGAAUAUGGUUGCUGUUAUGUUUUUCAUCAUUUUGAUAUUGGCUGGUGUCCUUUGGAAACGAAAACAGAAAGACAAAAGAACAACUCCUCACGUAUGUAGACUUGAUGAGAUCAACAUACAAUACAAAAAAGGAAGAUAUAACAACAGAAACAGAUUGUAAAAGUUCGUUGCUGUCACACCACACAGAACUUACUGAUGCUA